UACGUACGAGGCGAGCGUUAUCCGGAAUUACUGGGCGUAAAGCGCGCGCAGGCGGAUGCCUAAGUCGGACGUGAAAUCUCCCGGCCUAACUGGGAGGGGUCGUUCGAGACUGGGUGUCUUGAGGACGGCAGAGGUCGGUGGAAUUCCUGGUGUAGUGGUGAAAUGCGUAGAGAUCAGGAGGAACACCGGUGGCGAAGGCGGCCGACUGGGCCGUCACUGACGCUGAGGCGCGAAAGCUCGGGGAGCGAACGGG
rnacentral:rRNA from 1 species